UACGUAGGCGGAUUGUUAAGUGAGGGGUGAAAUCCCGAGGCUCAACCUCGGAACUGCCUUUCAUACUGGCAAUCUUGAGUCCGGGAGAGGUGAGUGGAACUCCUAGUGUAGAGGUGAAAUUCGUAGAUAUUAGGAAGAACACCAGUGGCGAAGGCGGCUCACUGGCCCGGAACUGACGCUGAGGUACGAAAGCGUGGGGAGCAAACAGGAUUAGAUACCCUGGUAGUCCACGCCGUAAACGAUGGAUGCUAGCCGUCGGGGAGCUUGCUCUUCGGUGGCGCAGCUAACGCAUUAAGCAUCCCGCCUGGGGAGUACGGUCGCAAGAUUAAA
rnacentral:rRNA from 1 species